AAGACUUUGAGCUUUAUUUCAAGGAUGUCUUGUUUGGAUUUUUUAUUUUUGAGAAGCAGCAUGAAAAUGUCUUUUUUCUUUCCAACUUAAUUAUUUUGCUUGCAAAAUACUUUAUCCACAAAUGUAAAACUUUAUUUUAUGUAUUUAUUUAUUUAUUAUUUUUUUCUUCCUUUCUCAUUUUCAAUGUGAUGUAAUGUUUGACCGUCCCUGAACCCCUGGCUCUUUUCUCUUGGCUUAUUUCUUACUUUUGUACUUUGUAAGCAAAUGUUUAAUAUUAAUAUAAAAAAAAUAAAAAAAUAGAUCUCUCCUGAAGGUUUCACAUACGCAUAUAACAUGAAGAGCUUUUUCUUGUGUUUUCCGAGAUUGAGUAACUUCCUUGAUCUGUUGUCAAGUCAAGUCAAGUCAAGUCAAGUGUUGACUUGACAAUGAAGAAACACCCUUCACGAGAACACAGAAGUGAAAGAAAGAUCAGUGCUUUUGAAGAUCAAGGUGUCAUUUCAGAGGUGGACAAAGAAACAUCUGCAAAUACUGUCAUUAUUCAAGUCCAUGAAUGACGAUGGCAUCUGUAAAAAAGCUGCUUCAUGAUACUCUAGAUAACCUGAUAGAAGAAGAUCUGAAGAGAUUUAAGAGUUACUUAAAAGAAGAUGGACCCGUUGGAGCUGGUAAACUGGAGAAGCUGAUGUCACUGAUAUAGUGGAUAUAAUGAUGGAGCGUUUUAGAGCAGAAGAAGCUGUGAAGAUCACACUGAACAUCCUGAGAAAGAUGAACCAGAACCAGCUGGCUGAAGAGUUACAGAACAGCUACAAUGAAGUGCAGAAAUCAUCAGAGCCAGCUGAGAAACACACAAGAAAACAAGAUGAUUUCUGGCUGACGGAAUUCAUGGAAACUCACAAAAUGAACAUGAAGGAGAAAGUAGAACACAUUUUUGAGGGUAAAAAGGAAAAUGAAGCACAUCUCAAGGAUGUUUUCACUGAACUCUUCAUUACGGAGGGGGAUCAUAAAGAAGUCAAUCAAGAACAUGAGAUUAUGAAGACUGAUGAAGCCAUUAAACCUCGUAAAUCACAGAACAGUUCAAUCAAAUGCAAUGAUAUAUUUAGUCUGAACAAAAAUAAGAAAAAGAUUGUUCUAACCAAAGGCAUCGCUGGCAUUGGAAAAACGGUCUCAGUGCACAAGUUCAUUCUGGACUGGGCAGAAGGAAAAGCCAAUCACGAUAUAGACUGUGUUUUCCUGCUUCCAUUCCGAAAGAUUAACUGCAUUAAAGACAGAAAGAUCAGUCUGCAUGAGUUUCUACAGAUAUUUAAUCCAGAACUGAAGAAACUGGAAACAUCAAAGAUAUGUAAGAUAUAUAAAUGUAAUCUUGCGUUUAUCUUUGAUGGACUGGAUGAGAGUCGACUGACUUUGGAUUUUGACAGUGGAAUGGUGACGAGUGUUGAGGAGCGAUCAUCUGUAGAUGAACUGUUUACAAGUCUGGUCAAUGGGACUCUGCUUCCAUCAGCUCACGUCUGGGUGACAUCACGACCAGCAGCAGCCAAUCAGAUCCUUCUUGAGUAUGUAGGGUUUUUCACAGAGGUGCGAGGAUUCACUGACGAGCAGAAGGAGGAGUAUUUCAGGAAGAGAAUCACAGAUGAGACUCAGGCCUCCAGAAUGAUCUCACACAUCAAGAAAUCUCGUAGUCUCUACAUCAUGUGCCACAUUCCCGUGUUCUAUUGGAUCACAGCCACUGUUCUUCAGGACAUUCCCAUUGGGAGCAAUGCAGAGAACUUCAACACGACACUCACUAAAAUGUACAUUCACUUCCUGCUGAUACAGAUGAGGAUGAAGAGCCAGAAGCAUGAUGGAAAAACAGAAAGAGAUUGUCCCAAGCUCUUAGAUUCCAAUAAAACAAUGAUUUUGAAGUUAGCUAAGCUAGCAUUUGAACAGCUGAAGAAGGAAAACAUUGUGUUCUAUGAGGAAGACCUGAGAGCAUGUGAUAUUGAUGUGAGUGAAGAAGACUUUGAGUCCACAGGAAUGCUCACUGAAAUCUUUCAGCAAGUAGCUGGACUCCACGAGAUGAAGAUCUUCUGCUUCGUGCAUCUGAGUGUUCAAGAGUUCCUCGCUGCAGUGCACGUGUUCCUCUGCUACCUGAAUAAGAACAUGGACGAGCUGCAGUUUUUCACUGAAGAAACACUAAGAGAGGUCAGGCCUGACCACAUUGACAAGCCAGACAAAAAUAUUGCUUUACACGAUUUACUAAAGAAGGCUGUAAGCAAAGCAAUGCAAAGUCAGAAAGGACAUUUAAAUCUAUUUUUACGGUUUCUGCUGGGCAUUUCACUGGAAUCCAAUAAGAAACUUCUUAGAGGCCUGUUCACACACACUGAAGACAGCAAAGACAGCGUCACAGAAAUAACCAAACACAGCAAAUACAGCAUCACAGAAAUAACCAAACACAUUAAAAAACUAUUAGAAAACCAGAAGAGGCACAUCUCACCUGAUACUUCUGUCAACCUGUUCUACUGCUUAUUGGAGCUCAAUGACAAUUCAUUAUUUACAGAAAUCCAAAGAUACCUCAAGAUCAUCUCCUGGAAGACCCCUCUCGUCUUCCAUGUGCUCAUUGAUGGCUUAUGUACUGAUGAUGUCAGAGGAGGUGCUGGAUGAGUUCAACCUGAGGAUGUACAUUACUGAACCGGGAGGCCGCAGGAAUCUCCUGCCAGCUUUGAGAUGCUGCAGAAAAGCCAUAAAGCUUGAAUGUUCACAGAGAACAGGACAUAACCUAUCACUGUUACUACAAAAACUGUUCCUACAUGAUGAACACAGAACAAAUGCCAUGGACAAAUAUCCUGUUUUGACAGACUCUCCUUCUGUUCUCUCAAUGACACCUACUGCGAGCCUGUGGCUUUGGCCCUGCAGAUACCAAAUUCACCCCUGAUAGAGCUGAACAUGAGUGGCAAUGACCUGAGUGUCUCAGGAGUGAAGCUGCUCUGUGAUGGACUGAAGAGCCCAAACUGUCAGCUGAAGAUACUGAGGUUUGAGAUUCAUUCCAACCUUAUACAACACCCACCUCAGUAUUUUAGUCACUAAAAACAGAGUAUGACAUUCUAAAACGCUUAAAAUUAAAAGGAUUAACGUGCCUUAAUGCACAAAGACAGUGAUUUUAAUAUAUCAAAUUCAGUAUACACUGUAUUGAUGAUGCAUAAUAAAUACAGGCAAGCAGAUGAACCCAUAGUUUUAAUACAGUGCGCUAAAUUGCAGAUGAAUUGUUUUUCUUUAUAAUGGUUUCCUAUGGGGAACAAUUUACAUGAAAUUUGCAAGUUUUUCUCUUCAUUAUGACCACUUAUGAGAGAUAACAUGUCAAAUCUUGCUGUACAUUUCUAAGACAAACAAAGUGUCAUCUCUAAGUUAUUAGAUAAUAUGACAGUGUUAUAUCAUAUAUCAUACAACAAAUGGUGCAAAUCAAAUUAGUAGUAUGGACAACAAAGACAAGCAUAGUAACCUUUGUCUUUUGUUGCACGUCUAAACGAUCAAAUACUGUACACACGGAAAUAUGUCAAAUGCCCGUUUUGUUGAGUAUUCACAUAAACACAGUCAACGUAAACACUGUACUGUGCAUUUUUCUUCAUUCACUCAUGCAUACACACACCCACGCACUUACACACCCUCACUAUCUCUCUCUCUCUCUUACUCACACACACACACACACAGGUUUGUUUGCUAUCAAAGUGAGGACAUUCCAUAGGCGUAAAGGUUUUUAUACUUUACAAACUGUACAUUCUAUCCCCCUACACCAACCCCACUCCUAAACCUACCCAUCACAAAAAAAUUCUGCAUUUUUACAUUUUUAAUAAAACAUUGUUUAGUAUGUUUUUAAAGCUAUUUCAAAUAUGAGGACUCACGAAAUGUCCUCAUAUUUCAUGUUUACGUUGUAAUACCAGUGUAAUACCCAUGUCAUUAUACAAAUUUGUGUCCUCAUAAAUCACAAAAAUGCACGCGCACACACACACACACACACACACACACACACACACACACACACACAAGCCUCCAUCUUGGAUCACACAUCAGGUCUAGCUUUACGCAGCCAUUCUAGUGUUCUUACUUCAGUAAUAUAUUGGUGUGGUCUCUGUACAUAAAAUCACUUUCACCUUUACCCUGACGGUUCCCUGCUGGUGGAAUGACCUGCCCAUCUCUACCCGAGCUGCUGAGUCUUUACCCAUCUUCAAGAAACUGCUGAAGAUGCAUCUUUUUCGGCAACACUUGACCCAUUAAUGCUAACACUAAAUAUUCUAUAACUGUUUUAAAAAACAACAACCUUGCUACGUGAACUGUGCUUGACUAACUGGGACUGAUCACGACACUUGCAUAUUGUUGUCCUAUUGUAAGUUUGAUUGCUUCUAUUGCUCUCCUCAUUUGUAAGUCGCUUUGGAUAAAAGUGUCUGCUAAAUGAUUAAAUGUAAACAUAAUUUUACUUUUACUUAUGUAAUUUGUUUGGAAUUUUCUUAAGUAAAAAUUGUACAAUAAAAUAACUAAAAUAUCUGGUUUAACAAUACAAUACAAUACAAAAAUAUAAAACAAAAGUAACUGCCACAAAUUCAAUUGUAAAGCCAGAGCUGACCUGUAGAGAUGCUUUGUAAUUGAAAUAUAAGUUGUGAUUAUACUUAAAAUGACUGAUUCCUGAAACUGAAAAAGUUUGCAACGCUCAAGCUGUUUUUCCUGUUUAUUACUGUAAACUGCUUUGAUCUGUAAAGUGAUAAAUAAAGUUGACCUGACUUGACAAUUAAAACCAAAUUCAAUGUGAUGGAGAAAACAUAUUGUGCUUUCUACAUCUGAUAACAACAGCAUUACAAAUAACCUAUAGGGAAUCAGAAUUGUCAGGUUUGGCCCUGCCUGGAAAAAUCCCACCUAUCCGGCUGAUGCAUUCCCGUGAAUUUAUCUAUCAAGGUAUUUUGUUUUUCAAAAUUAAAAAAAAACCCUCCAAUAACACUAAUAAUACUUUAUACUACUAUAAUACUAAUUAUAUGACAUUAGCAUUAGUUUUGAGUACAGUACUACUAUUUUCAACAACAAAAUAAAAGUAAAAAGUUAACUCUUAAUUUAUAUUGGGUUAUGUUUAAUUCUGACAGAUUGUGAGAUAUUGAUCUUUCAUUAGGAUCUUAACUGCAUUUCUUUAUUUAAUUUCAUUUUAAUUCAAUUAAAGUUAAUUAAAAAUAAAGAUAUUUAAGAUAUUUGGCCAAAUGAUUUCUACAUAAAACAUUAUUACAUUAUUAACAUUAUUAUUGGUCCACUGGAGAGGUCCCGUUGCUUAUAAUAAGAGGACAUGCAAACACUGCAGUGCACUCAUACUCUGAGCUCACCCGCUGCACACUGCCUACAUGCUGCUUCUCUGUGCUCUCUUUUCACAAACAGUAAAAAGUUUUUCUACACUUUUGCAGAAAACAAUGUGUCGAGUGUCAACAGCACAGUUUAAGGCGUCGAGGCUGAUGCAGCAUUACAUUUACUCAGAACCUAAAACCCAAACUUACUCGAACACGAGUUCCUUCAGGAGAUACAAAUCUAUGAGUUUAUGAUCCUCAGUAUCUGGUAGAUGACUGUAUAGAUCUGAUCAGAACCAUAUUCUCCUUUCAGCAGAACUUAUAGUUUCUGAAAUGAGAGAGAUUUAACUCUUAUCAGUUUAUAUUAAAUGGAUGUGUAAUUAUUCAACAGAUUUAACAAGCGUUUGUUGUGAGUUCUGAUGUCACAGUUACAGAUAUUGUCGUCGUUUCU